GCAUGAUCUGACUUUCUCUCUCCCUCCUACAAAAUAGUUUCGUAGAGCCGAAGGCUGUCUGGGUUCCAGCAGGAACUUGUUCUGGACGGCGAAGCCCUGCCGGAUAGCUGACACCGUAUGUAUGCAACCCCAUAGAGAGGUCGUAGGUUCGAUCUUUUGCUUGAGGGGCUGUUCGAGGGUCCUCCCGAAGGGCUGUCCGAGUGACCGUCCGAGUUUCUUAGAGUGCCUCCCUAAGGACUGUCCGACUGCGUUCCGAAGGGUUGUCCGAGGUAUAGAUGCGGGAGAACAUCCUCGCGGUUGGGAGGUUGUAAAUCCUAGCUGCGGGGAUCUGCAUUGAUGAUCUACACCGACUGUACUUCCACUGCGCUACAAGUCGAUUCAUGUAAUGACAAAGGAAUUAAUCCGACUAGGGAUGACACUAGUCCAUUAUCUUUCACUAAAGAUGAUAGAUGGUUUCCUUUUGAUGAUGGCAAAUGCCGUAUUCGGGGACCUCUCUAGGCAUGGCAUCACAAGACCAGAAAAGGGUCCAUUUGUGCUGAAGUCGGAAACGUCGAUCCGCAGUGAUUGAUGUUGGCACGAUAGGGUUAACCAAGAAAGACAAAAUUAAAGUUCAUGGAAGGAUUACUAAGAUCAAAGGAAAAACAAUUGAAUUUGAAGGUGGGAAGGAAGCCUCCUUUGAUGCCAUUGUGUUUGCAACCGGAUACAAAAGCACAACAAAU